AGCAAAGUGGGAGAGUAAAUGCGCUUUGUUUUUUAUUCAUCAAAGAAAGAAAGAAUCAAAUAAUAGAAGGGACUUUUACUUGUAACUGAAACCUUCGUUGUUUGACUUUUACUUGUUCUACCAACAAAGAGGAUUCAAUUCUGCAGAACACAAAAAAAAGAUGAUGGGCUGGCGAAGAGUAUUGAAAUCUUUACAGGCACUGGCCGCCCACAGUCUUCUCUUUUCUUUCACUCUCUUCCUCGUCCUCAAGCUUGAUCACGUCGCCUCCUACUCCUGGUGGUUAAUAUUCUUCCCACUCUGGACAUUCCAUGGAGUUGUUGCUCGAGGAAGAUUUGCAUUACCUGCCCCAUCAGUUCCACAUAAUCGUCAUUGGGCGCCGUGCCAUGCAGUUGUGGCAACACCAUUGCUUAUUGCAUUUGAACUGCUUCUUUGUAUAUAUCUCGAAAGCGUUUAUGUUUAUCAUAUUCCAGCUGUAAACUUGAAGAUUGUCUUUAUUCCAUUGCUGGCAUUUGAAAUAAUUAUUUUAAUUGACAAUUUCAGAAUGUGUAAGGCUCUAAUGCCAGGUGAAGAAGAAAGCAUCAGUGAUGAAGCGAUAUGGGAAACAUUGCCUCACUUCUGGGUUGCAAUUUCCAUGGUUUUCUUUGUGGCUGCUACAGUCUUUACCCUCCUAAAGCUGUGCGGUGAUGUGGGUGCACUUGGCUGGUGGGACUUGUUCAUAAACUUUAGCAUUGCAGAGUUCUUUGCCUUUCUCGUUUGUACUAAAUGGUCUAAUCCAGCGAUCCACAGAAAUUCUCGGACAAGAGAAGUUAGUUCAUCUUCAACGACCAUUAGAUAUCUUGAUUGGAAUGGUGGCUUAAUGGUUUCUCCCGAGGAGAAUCAACACCAGGACAGAAUGUGCGGUCUGCAAGAAAUUGGUGGCCAUAUUAUGAAAAUUCCUUUAAUUGGUUUCCAAGUUCUCCUUUUUAUGCAUUUAGAGGGAAGACCUGCUGGUGCUAGAAAUUUACCGUUUCUGGUUCUUUUCUCUCCACUUUUCCUACUUCAAGGAGCUGGUGUAUUGUUUGCUGCUUCUAAGUUGGCAGAAAAGCUUAUUCUUUUAUUGCGGAGCGAAGCUGGCACAGGAAGAUAUUUUAGAUUUUCCUCAAGAGCUCAUGACUGCUUGGGGUUCUUGCAUCAUGGUUCCAGGCUGCUGGGCUGGUGGUCAAUUGAUGAGGGAAGUCGAGAGGAACAGGCUCGAUUGUACCAUGGGGGAGAUGCUGGUUAUAAUACUUUCUGUGGUUAUCCUCCUGAGAUAGUGAAGAAAAUGCCUAAAAAGGAUCUCACUGAGGAGGUGUGGAGGCUGCAGGCAGCUCUUGGUGAGCAGACAGAAAUCACAAAAUACAGCCAGCAGGAGUUUGAAAGACUUACAAAUGAAAAAGUUUUAUGUAGGGUGUGCUUUGAGGGAGAGAUCAGUGUGGUUCUGCUCCCCUGUAGACAUCGUAUCCUUUGCAGCACCUGCUGUGAGAAGUGUGAAAAAUGUCCAAUUUGUCGUGUCUCUGUCGAGGAGUGCUUAUCUGUGUAUGACGUUUAGCUUCUAACUCAGCGGUUUUGUAAUAUGAAUGAUCAAUUCGAGUCCCACAGAUAAGCAGCAAGUCCAGAGGUCUAUCACAUUAUUUGCAGACGACAGGGACAUGUCUUUCUUGGUAAACAAUCUGAAGCAUGCCAAUUUGAAGGAUUCACAACUUUUAGAAAUCCAGCUAGGAAGAAUUUUCAAUAGAUUUGCCGUUACAAACAUGAAAUCACGAGAGCGAAUGGAAAAUCUUCUCCCAUAUAUCAUGCUGUGACAAAUGAAGCUUCUGUUUAGGAUUUGGCAUUAUGAUGCCAUUCUUGGUAGCUGGCUUGUUAACUAGUUUCGAAUUGCCCGUUAGCUGAAUUGCAAAAUCAUUGAAGCAGUCAUCAACGGUUCAAAAUGGUGUCUGGAUAGAUUAUGCACACUUUAACACCGGUUGGCUGAUCCAUGCCGUAGUUUAUUUGGUAGCUCUUUAUGAAAA